AUAGAUAAGGAGAUUCUUGUGUGA
rnacentral:siRNA from 1 species